rnacentral:rRNA from 1 species
CCUACGGGAGGCAGCAGUGGGGGAUAUUGCACAAUGGGGGAAACCCUGAUGCAGCGACGCCGCGUGGGUGAAGAAGCGCCUCGGCGCGUAAAGCCCUGUCAGCAGGGAAGUAAAUGACGGUACCUGAAGAAUAAGCCCCGGCUAACUACGUGCCAGCAGCCGCGGUAAUACGUAGGGGGCAAGCGUUAUCCGGAUUUACUGGGUGUAAAGGGGGCGCAGACGGCGAUGCAAGCCAGGAGUGAAAGCCCGGGGCCCAACCCCGGGACUGCUCUUGGAACUGCGUGGCUAGAGUGCAGGAGGGGCAGGCGGAAUUACUGGUGUAGCGGUGAAAUGCGUAGAUAUCAGGAGGAACACCGGUGGCGAAGGCGGCCUGCUGGACUGCAACUGACGUUGAGGCCCGAAAGCGUGGGGAGCAAACAGGAUUAGAUACCCUUGUAGUC